rnacentral:tmRNA from 1 species
UCACUUCACAUUAAGCCGGCAUCGCCUAUAUAGGGGAUGCCGGUUUCGACCGGAUAUGGCGAUAAAUUGCAGUGUGCAAUAGACAUAACGGACCCGGGGGCAGUACCCGGCGGCUCCACCAAAAACCGCAGGAAACUGCGGUUCCUGACGGGGCCGAACUAGGAUCGACGUGUGUUGAAAAGCAUUGUUUUUGCCCGGGUUGAGAAUCCCCGUAAAAAGCUCAUUUUUAUAAGUGCAAACGAUAACGAAGCACUCGCUCUCGCUGCGUAAUUUGAUGGCCUAACGGCCUGACUUUACAAAGCCUAAGCGCGGUUGGACCCACCGGGCAACAGAAGCGGAUUCCG